rnacentral:rRNA from 1 species
UACGGGGGGGGCAAGCGUUGUUCGGAAUUACUGGGCGUAAAGGGCUCGUAGGCGGCCAACUAAGUCAGACGUGAAAUCCCUCGGCUUAACCGGGGAACUGCGUCUGAUACUGGAUGGCUUGAGGUUGGGAGAGGGAUGCGGAAUUCCAGGUGUAGCAGUGAAAUGCGUAGAUAUGUGGAGGAACACCGAUGGCGAAGGCAGCCCCCUGGGUCAAGACUGACGCUCAUGCACGAAAGCGUGGGGAGCAAACAGG